GAUGAACGCUGGCGGCGUGCCUAAUACAUGCAAGUCGAGCGAACGGACGAGAAGCUUGCUUCUCUAAUGUUAGCGGCGGACGGGUGAGUAACACGUGGAUAACCUACCUAUAAGACUGGGAUAACUUCGGGAAACCGUAGCUAAUACCGGAUAAUAUUUUGAACCGCAUGGUUCAAAAGUGAAAGAGGGUCUUGCUGUGAAUUAUAGAUGGAUCCGCGCUGCAUUAGCUAGUUGGUAAGGUAACGGCUUACCAAGGCAACGAUGCAUAGCCGACCUGUGAGCGUGAUCGGCCACACUGGAACUGAGACACGGUCCAGACUCCUACGUGAGGCAGCAGUAGGGAAUCUUCCGCAAUGGGCGAAAGCCUGACGGAGCAACGCCGCGUUAGUGAUGAAGGUCCUCGGAUCGUAAAACUCUGUUAUUAGGGAAGAACAUAUGUGUAAGUAACUGUGCACAUCUUGACGGUACCUAAUCAGAAAGCCACGGCUAACUACGUG
rnacentral:rRNA from 1 species